GUGCUCGCUUCGGCAGCACACAUAUACUAAUAUUGGAACAAUGCAGAGAAGAUUACCAUGGCCCCUGUGCAAUGAUGACACAUAAAUUCGUGAAGUGUUCAUAUUUAAA